rnacentral:rRNA from 1 species
UGCCAGACUCCUACGGGAGGCAGCAGUGGGGAAUAUUGGGCAAUGGGCGCAAGCCUGACCCAGCAACGCCGCGUGAAGGAAGAAGGCUUUCGGGUUGUAAACUUCUUUUAUUCGGGACGAAGCAAGUGACGGUACCGAAUGAAUAAGCCACGGCUAACUACGUGCCAGCAGCCGCGGUAAUACGGAGGAUGCGAGCGUUAUCCGGAUUUAUUGGGUUUAAAGGGUGCGUAGGCGGACGCUUAAGUCAGCGGUAAAAUUGCGGGGCCCAACCUCGUCGAGCCGUUGAAACUGGGUGCCUUGAGUGGGCGAGAAGUACGCGGAAUGCGUGGUGUAGCGGUGAAAUGCAUAGAUAUCACGCAGAACUCCGAUUGCGAAGGCAGCGUACCGGCGCCCAACUGACGCUGAAGCACGAAGGCGUGGGUAUCGAACAGGAUUAGAUACCCUUGUAGG